rnacentral:misc_RNA from 1 species
UUUCACUUGACUGAAGCCGUUGGAGAUGGGAAGCUGGCUGACGUGUCUGGUGAUUUCUUAUUGUUUUUUAACUUUAUAUCGAAAUGAGGGUAAUUUUGUGCAGGGUGAAGAUUUAGCCAUAAAAAAUGCCUCCGAAAAUAAUUACAAAUAUGCAGAACCGACGGUAAUGAUAGCGAUUUUGGUCCGAAAUAAGGCUCACAUUCUGCCAUGGUUCUUCGGACACUUGGAAAAACUAAAUUAUCCCAAGAAUAGAAUAUCAUUUUGGAUCAGAAGUGACCACAAUGAGGAUGACUCUGCCCGGAUGCUCAGGGAGUGGGUGGAUGCCAAUAAAAAUGUUUACCACAACAUAGACUUGGUGAUUGAGGACAACAAAGACAAAUAUGAAGAUGAAAUUGGUCCUUUACACUGGUCUACUAAGAGAUUUGACAAAGUUAUUGCCCUUAGAGAGAAUGCUUUGCUAGCUGCUAGACAUGCCUGGGCGGAUUACUUAUUUGUAAGGAAAACAGAAUUUAUGUACUUAUGUAAUUUCAAAUCAAAUUGAUAGCUUUGCAUAAUAUUACAGUAUAAUGUCGUGUAUAAAUGAUUAAGUUUGGCAUUUAUUUAGCAGUACAUUGUUCAUGUAAUUGAUAAUAAUUAAAAUUACCUUUGGUCCAUUGUUUUUUGUUAUAUUUUGUUGUUUUAGAUGCUUGAUGCUGAUGUUGUUCUGGAAAAUAGAAAUACACUUACACAACUGAUUGAUGCCAAACAGUAAGUACCGGUAAUGGAAACCAUCUUGUAAAACCAUUUCUUAAAAUUUACACAGUUAUAAAAGUUAAUUAGAAAACUUGGUAGAAUUUGGAAAAGUAUGAUUUUAGAAGUCAGCACUGUUUCUUUUAAAUUAUUGAUUAAAAUUUGAUACAUAAUACAUUCAACUGCCUUUUUUCUUCAUUACAUGCAUGUACAUAAGUGACUGAACUAUCCUCAUAAGUACUGUUAAUGAAUGAUAAUUGUUUAAUAUUUUUCAGACCCAUCAUAGCCCCCAUGCUAAAUGCAAGCAUAGGAGAAACAUAUUCAAAUUUUUGGGGAGGAAUGGAUGAAAUGGGAUACUAUAAGAGAGCCCCUGGAUAUUUUGACAUUUUGGAGAGAAAGCGGUUGGGUGUUUUUGAGGUUCCAAUGGUUCACACAGCACUCCUUUUAGAUAUGCAUCUGAUGGAGUCCGAUUCCUUUACCUACAACAAACCUGAGGGCUAUGAUGGCCCUCAUGAUGACAUCAUUAUUUUUGGUCUCAAUGUCAGAAAAGCAGGAAUGGUUAUGCACAUUAUGAAUACAGAGUAUUUUGGAAUUGUGAUGGUUCCUCUAGAGAGUCACAAUACGUUGGAACAAGAAAGCCAACAUUUUGAUUUUAUUCUAUUGGAGGCUAUAGGUAAAACUUUUCUUUCUUUUGUUUCCUAGCUAUUUCCCUAAAUGUGAUUUUGAUAAGUUUAAGAGCUUGUUAAGAAUGUUUUGUUAUUCUUAAAACAGCUAUACAAACUAUCAACUGUGUUAAAUUCGAUUUAUGUUUUUGGCAAAAUAAUAACGUGUUUAUGUAACUCUGAAGUCAUUUCUCUGUCUUCUUUGUGUUUGUCUUUGUUUUCUUACUUUUCCGAAACUUGUUCAGCAAUAUUAGGAAUGAGAUUUCUUAAGAUAACAAUAUAAUCAUGCAUGUGUAAAGCAAAACAACAAUUUCAAAAUUGGCUUUUUGGAGUUCUGUUGGAGCUGUCAAACAUAAGUUUGCUGUUUUACAUCAAGUACAAGCUAGCAUAUAUUCCCAUUAAUUUUUGUACAACAUGUAUAAGGUCAAUUAACUUUCUUAACUUACAGUGUCCCAUUACAACCUGUUUAAGUAUUUGGCAAAUAUAAAGUAAGGAGGUUCAUUCGAAGAUGACUAUUGUCUAUUAUAUUCUUCUGUUAUGCUAUGUUUUAUAUAUUGAUAAACCAUGGUUUCAUGAAACUGUUU